rnacentral:lncRNA from 1 species
UGAAUCGUGAAUGUUAGCAAACCAAAUGAAACAUUCUUUAAACGAGGAAUUAUGUUAGAUGACUAGUCAUUAUUUAACAUGAUUGGUUUUGAUUCGAGUAAUUAUAUCGUCAACUCAGGAGGUGGAUGCAAAAGUGGGAAAAGAUGACAACCUAGCUCGUUCAUUGCUAAGAACUCGGUGAGUGGAAAAAUAUAAAUAUUUAUAAAGUAUUUAUAAAUUAAGUACAUUAGUAAAGUAUGUGUGAUUAUGUGUUCGAUUUUAUGAUUAUUAUGGAAAUCUCUUUUAUUAUGAUACUUGUGCAAUCUCAAAGAUUAUUUAUAGCACAUUUAUGACUUGGUAUUUGAGACAAAUGUGAUGUUGAGAUCAGCCAGAAAAGUAUCCUUGAUUAUAUAUUUCUUCUAUCUCACAGAGGGGCUUUCGCCGUGUUCUAUCCUACACGGAGGAGUCUUGAUCGGACAUUGGUCUUCACCUUGUACAUAUAGUUCACAG